AACGAACGCUGGCGGCAUGCCUAACACAUGCAAGUCGAACGAGAUCUUCGGGUCUAGUGGCGCACGGGUGCGUAACGCGUGGGAAUCUGCCCUUUCGCUCGGAAUAACAGUUGGAAACGACUGCUAAUACCGGAUGAUGACGAAAGUCCAAAGAUUUAUCGCCAGAGGAUGAGCCCGCGUAGGAUUAGCUAGUUGGUGUGGUAAAGGCGCACCAAGGCGACGAUCCUUAGCUGGUCUGAGAGGAUGAUCAGCCACACUGGGACUGAGACACGGCCCAGACUCCUACGGGAGGCAGCAGUGGGGAAUAUUGGACAAUGGGCGAAAGCCUGAUCCAGCAAUGCCGCGUGAGUGAUGAAGGCCUUAGGGUUGUAAAGCUCUUUUACCCGGGAUGAUAAUGACAGUACCGGGAGAAUAAGCUCCGGCUAACUCCGUGCCAGCCGCCGCAGUAA
rnacentral:rRNA from 1 species